rnacentral:piRNA from 1 species
UGACCCUUGAAAAUCGGAUUCAGAUGCUGG